GUUGUUUUGGCAGAUUAGUGCAAUAAAUUUAGAAUUUGUUUAAGUAAUAGAUAAAUUACAUACAAUA
rnacentral:tRNA from 1 species